rnacentral:rRNA from 1 species
UACAGAGGUCUCAAGCGUUGUUCGGAAUUACUGGGCGUAAAGGGUGCGCAGGCCGCGCGGACAGUCAAAUGUGAAAUUCAGGGGCUCAACCCCUGCAUUGCGCUUGAUACUUCCGCGCUCGAGCCUUGGAAAGGAGUCUGGAAUUCUCGGUGUAGCAGUGAAAUGCGUAGAUAUCGAGAGGAACACGAAGGGCGAAGGCAAGACUCUGGACAAGUGCUGACGCUCAUGCACGAAGGCUAGGGUAGCGAACGGG